UAGACUCUAUCAGCCUUGUCC
rnacentral:miRNA from 1 species